rnacentral:rRNA from 1 species
UACGGAGGUUCCUAGCGUUGUUCGGAAUUACUGGGCGUAAAGGGAGCGCAGGCGGACCGUUAAGUCUAAAGUGGAAUCCCGGGGCUCAACCUCGGACGUGCUUUGGAUACUGGCGGUCUUGAGUUCGCGAGAGGAAAGCGGAAUUCAGGGUGUAGCGGUGAAAUGCUUAGAUAUCCUGAGGAACACCAGUGGCGAAAGCGGCUUUCUGGCGCGAAACUGACGCUGAGGCUCGAAAGCGUGGGGAGCGAACGGG